rnacentral:rRNA from 2 species
ACAACGACUCUCGGCAAUGGAUAUCUCAGCUCUCAAAA